rnacentral:RNase_P_RNA from 1 species
UCUGAGCACCGGGUAAUCGCUUGUAAGUUUUGCUUAUAAGAGGAAAGUCCGGACUCCAAGCGAAUAGGAUUCCUCAAAAGGGCUUCGGUCUGAAUUGGGGGCGACUUUAGGGUCGACGGAUAGUGCCGCAGAAAAUAACCGCCACGGUGUUCGCAUUGUGGUAAGGGUGAAAAUGUGUGGUAAGAGCACACGGCGGUUCCCAGUAAUGGGUGCCGGGGGUAAACCCAAUCCGGAGCAAGACAAAAUAGGCGUGUUCGGUUGUUCGUUCCGAUAUGGCACGCGGGUAUGUCGCAUAGAUACAUGGUUACCGGUCAGGCAGUAAUGUCUGAUUACAGAAUCCGGCUUACAGGUGUUCAGACGAU